ensembl:lncRNA
CUUGAAGAAGGUUCAUGCAAAGACACCAAGUAGGCCAAUGGUCUUGGACAAUGAGCUUGGGCAGUGUUCCAAAGGUAAGAAAUCGGUGGCUGAGGUCUUGGCUUUCUAGAGCAUUUGAAUCUGCUCCAGAUGCCUCUAGGCUUCCUCAAAAGAUGGUCCCGGCCAGGGUGGGGCUAAUAGUUUGGAGCCCCAGAAGUCCCAGGCCAGCUGCUUUUGGGAGCUGCUGAAACUGGGGCCUUCCAGCAAGCUCAGAAGGCACUGCUAUUGUCACACUCCCACAACUUCCCUGUGGCCUUACUGAGACAACUUCAGCUACCCCCAACUACAUUACCCUUAUAUCUGAUGACACAUAGGGAAGUCCCAUUAUUUAUUAUGUGUAGAUUCCAGUGCUUUCCACAUAUAGAGAAACAACUGUUUGCGGGCCUUGCUACCUGGCUCCUGACCAGCCUGCUGAUUCAACCUGACAUACCUUUGCUUUAAAUUAAGGGGCUAACACUGUGGCCAGAACCACUGAUUUUUGUUUUUGUUUUUUUGAGAUGGAGUCUUGCUCUGUUGCCCAGGCUGGAGUGAAGUUGCACCAUGUCGGCUCACUGCAGCCUCCACUCCUUGGGUUCAAGUGAUUCUCCUGCUUCAGCCUCCUGAGUAGCUGGGUCUACAGGUGCACGCUACCAUGCCCAGUUGAGGCUAAUUUUUGUAUUUUUAGUAGAGGCGAGGUUUCACCAUGUUGAUCAGGCUAAUCAUGAACUCCUGAGCUCAGGCAAGCCAUCAGCCUCGGCCUCCCAAAGUGCUGGAAUUACAGGUGUGAGCCACUGCUUCUGGCCUGAUUGUUAUAGUAGGUAGUCAGGCAGACAUAAGCAGGGCAGGAGCGGGUUCCCCCUCCCCGCACCAGGAAUGUCAGGUGACCAUCAGGUGAUGGUCAGGCAGUUGCUAAGCUGUCUCUCUGAAAAAAUUGGUCACAGCUGGCUCAAGGGAAAGGCAGUCUCUUAGUACAUGAAAAACCUGAAACUGGUGAUCAACUUCCCAGUAAGAUCUCCUGGGCCAGAGGGCCCACACAUGUGCAUUAAAAGGCAAAAUGGUGAAGUUUAACUGGUCUGUUACCUUACAGUAAACCCUGGACUUGUAAGGGAAAAAGGCCUCAAGUGAGCAUGAGUACAACUCUAGUAAACACACUGCACACGCUCCCCUCCCAAUCACUGGCAGGCUGCUGUGCAUGCAGGACAGCCCACCCCAAGGGAGGAAUCAGAGGAGAAGUAACACAAGACCCCAGAAGCAUGCCAGCGUAUAAAACCCCAAGUGAAAAGGUCAAACUGUGCACUUGAUUGCUUAAGCUGCCCACUUGGCCCUCUUCCAAGUGCACUUUCCUUCCUUUCAUUCCUGCUGGAAAGCUUUUUAAUAAACUCACUCCUGCUCUAGAACUUACCUCAGUCUCUCCUUCUGCCUUAUGCCCCUUGGUUGAAUUCUUCCUUCUGAGGAGGCAAGAACUCCUCAGAAAGAACCCAACUCCUUAGGGGUUGCUGCAGACCCAUACAGAUUCUCUGCCCGUAACAUGAUCACCAGGCUCUGUUCCUCUUUCUGUCACCCCUGACCCAGAGGAAGCACUUGUCAGGUUUAUCUCCUGGUGCUUGCUCUGCCUUUAACCCUUUCUUCUCACAGGGCCUUUCUUCUUUCUUUAUUUCUUUUUGAGACGGAGUCUCACUCUGUUGUCCAGGCUGGAGUGCAGUGGCACAAUCUUGACUCACUGCAACUUCUGUCCCACGGGUUCAAGCAAUUCUUGUGCCUCAGCCCCCCGAGUAACUAGUGUUGCAGGUGUGCACCACCAUGCCCACGCUAACUUUUGUAUUUUUAGUAGUGACGGGGUUUCACCAUGUUGGCCAGACUGGUCUCAAACUCCUGACCUCAAGUGAUCCACCUGCCUUGGCCUCCCAAAGUGCUGGGAUUACAGGCGUGAGCCACUGCGCCCAGCCUCACAGGGCCUUUCUUAGUGCUGGUUUCCCUCAAUUUCUACCUUCUCCAUGUUGCUUCUAGUUGAACUCUUCUGUGACAAUGCUGCUGCCACCUCAGGUAAGUUAAGUGGAAGAAGGAGGAAAGCAAUUCCAUCUUCAGUGACCUGAGUAAAGCCGUCUUCCUUAGCCACAUGUGGAGAAUUGUUCUCAUUAUGACGAUUUGAAUGUCAUAAAUCUUUGUGCUUCGACAGUGACAUAGAGUAAAGCCUCAUUAAUUAAGGCCUCACUGAUUCAGAAUUUAAGAUAAUGUCUUCAUAGGCCAAGCUGAAAUUUACAUUUGCACUAUCUAUGAAAAAAGAGUUCAUUAAGUAAAUCAAUAAAGUAAGGAAGAUUGCAGGAAGUCUGUUUAAUCUAAUUAAGAAAACAAACUAUUUUCAAGCACUUUGUAAUACCAUCGACAUAUAAACAAUGUGCUCAUUACAAAUGACUAUUAUGGGAUCAUUAAAGCAUUUUAAGGAAAAUUCCUGUUUGAC